GAUAAAACCCCUUCAUUUCUUUUUGGCCAGCCAAAGCUCUAAACUUCAAUGCCAGGCUUCCCAUCUUCGACUUCUCCUUUAUCUCUUUAAUAUCCAUUUUCUCUUUCAAUUUCUGUGUGUCCAUUCUCAGCAGAUACAAGAGCCACUGCAGAGUGCAUUGUCUGCGAUAAGAAUUGCGUGAAAAUUCAUUCUAUAGCACCAAACAUUUAUUGCUGUGGAGCAGGAACUGCCACUGAUACAGAGGCAGUGACUGACAUGAUCAGCUCCCAGCUGCAGCUACAUCGGUGUCAUACUGGACGAGAAUCAAGGAUCGUAACAGCCUUGACUCUUUUAAAAUCUCAUCUUUUCCACUACCGAGGAUAUAUUCAAGCUGCUUUGGUGCUUGGUGGAGUGGAUGUGACUGGGCCACAUCUGCAUACAAUGAAUCUAUCCUCAUGGAUCUACGGAUAUUCUGCCAUUUGCAACUAUGGGUUCUGGUUCACUAGCUGCUAUGACUGUUUUUGAGUCAAAGUACCGUGAAGGAUUAACUAAAGAAGAAGGAUUUAAUUUGGUAUGCAAGGCUAUUUGUGCUGGCAUUUUCAAUGAUUUGGGCAGUGGGAGCAAUGUUGAUGUUUGUGUUAUAACAAAGGUUUGUUGUCUUGCCUGCAUUCAGGGACGCAAGGAAUACCUAAGAAACUAUCAAGUCCCAAAUCAUUAUGCAGAUAACAGCUCAAAAUGAUUUACAUUCCCUAAGAAGAUUGGCAAGCGAUGUCAUCUGAGCAUCAGUUGUCUGUUGCUUUCAAAAUGUUACUUGUGUCCUUAGCUUCUUUAAUAUAGAUAUUCUGAAGCAAGGGCUACAUACUAGUGUUCACUAAUUUUUGCAUAGAAGUUUAUGCGUCCUUGUUGAAUUGUUAACAAUGACUUGAUGCUGCAAUUCUCUCAUGAUGCAGAGGUUCUAUUGACCACUAUCACCUCCUUAAAGGAUCGUUGAAGUUGUUGAAGAUGGAGGUGCGAUGGAAGAAUGAAUACAGCAAUAAACUGCAUUUGGUGAUUUAAAUUUGCUGGUUCAUAAUCCCAUUGUUGUUGAUUCAUCAUAUGUUUGUUUAGCAUAAACAACAUUGUAGUAAUUUCGUUUACAUGCAUUAUAAAAUGGCACCCAAGUUUCUAUUCU